GGUGAACGCUGGCGGCGUGCUUAAGACAUGCAAGUCGAACGGCAGUCUUCGGACUGUAGUGGCGCAUGGGUGAGUAACGCGUAACUGACCUACCCCAAAGUCGCGGAUAACGAUUCGAAAGAAUCGCUAAUACGUGAUGUGCUGUCAGAUUGUGUUCUGCCAGUAAAGAUUGAUUGCUUUGGGAUGGGGUUGCGUUCCAUCAGCUAGUUGGUGGGGUAAAGGCCCACCAAGGCGACGACGGAUAGCCGGCCUGAGAGGGUGGCCGGCCACAGGGGCACUGAGACACGGGUCCCACUCCUACGGGGGGCAGCAGGUAGGAAUCUUCCACAAUGGGCGAAAGCCUGAUGGAGCGACGCCGCGUGAGGGAUGAAGGUCUUCGGAUCGUAAACCUCUGAAUCAGGGACGAAAGACACUUCGGUGGGAUGACGGUACCUGAGUAAUAGCACCGGCUAACUCCGUGCCAGCCGCCGCAGUAAAAC
rnacentral:rRNA from 1 species